rnacentral:rRNA from 1 species
GGAUCCCAUCAGAACUCCGCAGUUAAGCGUGCUUGGGCGAGAGUAGUACUAGGAUGGGUGACCUCCUGGGAAGUCCUUGUGUUGCACCUCU